UGAGGGAAUAUUUGGGGUCAAUGGACGAGAGUCUGAACCAGCCAAGUAGCGUGCAGGACGACGGCCCUAUGGGUUGUAAACUGCUUUUGUACGGGGAUAAAGUGAGCCACGUGUGGUUUAUUGCAGGUACCGUACGAAUAAGGACCGGCUAAUUCCGUGCCAGCAGCCGCGGUAAUACGGAAGGUCCGGGCGCUAUCCGGAUUCAUUGGGUUUAAAGGGAGCGUAGGCCGCCCCCUAAGCGUGUUGUGAAAUGCCGCGGCUCAACCGUGGCACUGCAGCGCGAACUGGGGGGCUUGAGUACGCACAAAGUGGGCGGAAUUCGUGGUGUAGCGGUGAAAUGCUUAGAUAUCACGAAGAACUCCGAUUGCGAAGGCAGCUCACUGGAGCGCAACUGACGCUGAAGCUCGAAAGUGCGGGGUAUCGAACA
rnacentral:rRNA from 1 species